rnacentral:lncRNA from 1 species
UCCGUCUCAAAAAAAAAAAAAAAAGUAAAUUGAGGACACUGUAACACUCUGCUCUUAAACACCUCCCAAAUGCUAUUUUAGAGAAAAAUCUGUAUUUUUAUCUAAAAGUCCACACUUCAUAUUCGCACUUUAGAUAGUUAACAAUCAUUCCUUUAUACCUAGCCCAUAAUCGUAUUUCCUUCAAUUAUACCCCAAAUGGUCUUUACAGCUGGUCCUCCGAAGAUCCAACCCCAAACCAGACCUGGAAACUGAGGCACUUAGGGGCUUGGCAACUUGCCUAAUAUCACCCGAGAGCUGAUUAAGGCUUGGGGCCAGGACUGGGACCCCAGGAUGAAGCCCAGCUGAGCAGAAAACCUCUGUGCACAGGAUGCAGCAAUCAAGAUAAUAAAAAUCAACUCCGACUGAGAAAGUAUCUGCCUACACAUUCAUCAGGCUGGGAGGACAGACCCAGAUGGUAUCAGUUGGAAAAUUAACAGAAAACAGUAUUUUUGCCAAGGACACCUUUUUCUGAGCCAUCAAUGUCUUCUAGCUCGCUAAAUGCCUUCCUUGCCCAUUACAAUCAUACACAGUGAUUGACAUUUUAUCAGUAAGAAUAAACUUCCCUUUUCCGGCCGGAGGGUCUGAUUUUCUUGGACACAGAGAAUCCGUCUCCAUUUCCAACCCAGGUGCAGGGCUCUGAUAAGCGGUUUCCGGACAUAACAAUCUACAGCGGUCUUAUCUUGUGGUUCCCAAGGAAACAGGUCCCGGCUGCACUUCGCAGCCCAGACCCGAGGGUGACCCCUUUACAAGCUUGCUCUUUGCCAAAUGGAAACCACGCAGUAUUUACAUUUCACCUAAACCCCACCCUUCCCUCCAAAUCCGAUGGGUUACUCAGGCCUAGGAUCCUCAGGCCUAGGGGGUCAAAACGCCCCGCGUCCCCAACCAAGACCCCUGAAGUCUAGCGGGGUUCCACUGGCCUCCGGAGCCUCCUCCCUGGGGCGCGGUGCCAGGACUUCGCCAUUAAACGAGCCCGCCCCCUGCACUUUGAACUCUGCCCCCAUCCUUUGACCCAAACCCCCCUACGCCCCGGCAUCGGAGUCCCCUUGCUUGGCCUCUGCCACGAAGAUACGGGGCCAGGUCCAGCAGUACAAGGAGGAGAAACCGCUCUCACGGGAGGCGCUGCGGCCACUGAGGGAGACGGCCGCCGCGGGUCACAGACGGAUGCUUCCGUUUCCGGUUCCGGGGCGGCUGGGAGCUGAAAAGUGGGCUAGUAAUGAGCUUGGGAUUGGUGGAGCCUCAAAGAUAGGCGGGACGACCUACGUCGUCCAAUCGCUGAGCAGGAAAAGCUAGUUUCCGCCGUCUGGGAGAUAAUUGGCAUUGUUGGCAGAUCCGCCCCUCGAGGGCAAGUCUCGGGACAGAAUCGCGCUGUGGGCGUGGCUUGUACUGGAUCCUCCCCGGGGCGUGGCUAAAACAAGACCGAGGUCCCGGGACGAGGUUGGGGGCGUGGUCUUUCGCGCAAUCCUCCAACGCCCAAUUACCCUGAUAAACAAUAAACGCUAAAAUAAGUAAUAAAUGCUCAUUUCCUCCAGCCAACACAUUCCUCGUGAUAACAUACUCCUGCACAAAGAUAUUCCCAUUGUUGGGAUUUUUCUUCCUUGAAUGUCUGUUAUUUCUUCCAGAAAUAAGGUCAUUUUUAUGCAUUUACAUGUGGCUUUUCUUAUUAAUGAGUGCGUUGUGAUGUUCCCUUCUGGCCACUAGAUGGCCACGUAGCUCACAUUUUCAAAUUCGCGGAUAUUUUGUUUUAGUUGCUUUAGACAUAGGUGUCCAAUCUUUUGGCUUCACUGGGACACAUUGGAAUAAUUGUCUUGGGCCACACAUAAAAUACAGGAACACUAACUAUAGCUGAUGAGCUAAAACAAGACAAAAAUUGCAAAAUAAUCUCAUAAUGUUUUUUUUUU